rnacentral:rRNA from 1 species
UACGAAGGGGGCUAGCGUUGUUCGGAAUCACUGGGCGUAAAGUGCACGUAGGCGGAUGUGUCAGUCAGGGGUGAAAUCCCGGAGCUCAACUCCGGAACUGCCUCUGAUACAGCACGUCUUGAGUUCGAGAGAGGUGGGUGGAAUUCCUAGUGUAGAGGUGAAAUUCGUAGAUAUUAGGAAGAACACCGGUGGCGAAGGCGGCCCACUGGCUCGAUACUGACGCUGAGGUGCGAAAGCGUGGGGAGCAAACAGG